GGUAGAGCACUUCCUUGGUAAGGAAGAGGUCGUGAGUUCAAUUCUCAUCAACA
rnacentral:tRNA from 1 species